AUAUCUCUCUGUACGGGAAGGAUGAGAAGCUUCGACUAAGGUUCGAUUCGAGCGWNAGCGAGAAAGCGUUGCCGCAGGCAACGACCCGAAGGGCGAAACGCGCAGCGCUGAGUCAUCCUUCCCCCACCACCA
rnacentral:sRNA from 2 species